rnacentral:rRNA from 1 species
GCCCUCAGGAGGGGGAUAACGGCUGGAAACGGCCGCUAAUACCCCAUAUGCCGAGAGGUGAAAUGAAAUUCGCCUGAGGAUGAGCUCGCGUCUGAUUAGCUAGUUGGUGGGGUAAGAGCCUACCAAGGCGUCGAUCAGUAGCUGGUCUGAGAGGAUGAUCAGCCACACUGGGACUGAGACACGGCCCAGACUCCUACGGGAGGCAGCAGUGGGGAAUUUUCCGCAAUGGGCGAAAGCCUGACGGAGCAACGCCGCGUGAGGGAUGAAGGCCUCUGGGCUGUAAACCUCUUUUAUCAAGGAAGAAGAUCUGACGGUACUUGAUGAAUAAGCCACGGCUAAUUCCGUGCCAGCAGCCGCGGUAAUACGGGAGUGGCAAGCGUUAUCCGGAAUUAUUGGGCGUAAAGCGUCCGCAGGCGGCCUUGUAAGUCUGUCGUCAAAGCGUGGAGCUUAACUCCAUUUAAGCGAUGGAAACUGCAAGGCUAGAGUGUGGUAGGGGCAGAGGGAACUCCCGGUGUAGCGGUGAAAUGCGUAGAUAUCGGGAAGAACACCAGUGGCGAAGGCGCUCUGCUGGGCCAUAACUGACGCUCAUGGACGAAAGCCAGGGGAGCGAAAGGGAUUAGAUACCCCUGUAGUCCUGGCCGUAAACGAUGAACACUAGGUGUCGGGGGAAUCGACCCCCUCGGUGUCGUAGCCAACGCGUUAAGUGUUCCGCCUGGGGGAGUACGCACGCAAGUGUG